ACCUUCUCAGGAUCGCACCUAGAGAGUUUCCAGGACUCUGCUAGUCUCGGCUAUGGGAGGUAGGGUCAAGCAGAGACAUAUCCAUUCCAUUUCUAGCUUGAGCAGUGGCUAGCGAGUGGAAGGCAAUCUGCUACAAGU